rnacentral:rRNA from 1 species
UACGUAGGUGGCGAGCGUUGUCCGGAUUUACUGGGCGUAAAGGGCGUGCAGGCGGUUUGUUAAGUGCAGGGUGAAAGCCCCCGGCUCAACUGGGGAAUGGCGCCCUAAACUGGCGAGCUGGAGUGAGAUAGGGGUGUGUGGAACUUCCGGUGGAGCGGUGAAAUGUGUUGAUAUCGGAAGGAACGCCGGUGGCGAAAGCGACACACUGGAUCUUGUCUGACGCUGAGGCACGAAAGCCAGGGGAGCGAACGGG